CAUGUACUCCCUCUGAUCCAUACUACUUGUCGCUCAAAUGGACGUAUCUAGACGUACUUUAGUGCUAGAUACAUCCGUUUGAGUGACAAGUAAUAUGGAUCGGAGGGAGUAGCUU
rfam:Triticum urartu cultivar G1812 contig1188354, whole genome shotgun sequence.